GCAAAAAGCUUGUGAAAUGUGUCCGAUUGCAAAGCGAGCAACAACAUGCGCUUAGGGGACGGCAAAAAGUCAACAGUAAACGGGGACGAGCGGCCAAAAUAAAUUUCCAGCCGCAAAUCCUUGACAAAUCUGCUGCAUUGGCUUUGGCGGCGGUCCUUCGAGAUAAAUCUUUAUUGCCUCAUUUUGCCUAAAGUCGAUUCUAUUUGUAUACUCUGCCAAGGGGCGUGUUCGCAUUUGCCAACCGUUUGACAUUUCAAAGAGCAUUGCAGGUUAAAUGGGUUUCUUUUUUAUAAUCACUUUAUGUCUUUCCUUACCACAGGCCUUCUAAAAA